rnacentral:snoRNA from 1 species
AUACCAAAAGUUAAUUUUUGGGGGCAAAGGUUUUUUUAAUAACCUUUACCAACUUGGGCUAUUGGGAGAAUAAAGAGAAGACCACACUCCACAGUGGCCUAUACCACUUAGUAUAGUUCACUACUAUUUUGUGGCCUACAUU